rnacentral:lncRNA from 1 species
UUUAUUAUAACAAAAAUACAACAAACAUUAGAACAAUAUCAAAAUAGUAAUUAUAUUCUAUAAAUCAAUUACAUAACAAUUAUUUUUUAUAUUUUUGUCUUGAAAUAUUCCACACGCAACCGAAGUUAUAACUACGAAAUUUAUUACCACAAACAACCGAGCCGGUACCACGAAUACCAAAAUCUGAGCCGGUACCAGAGGGAAUGUCAAAGAAGCCAAACUUAACCAGUAGGAAGCAAAGCAAAGGCUGGUGAUACAGAAUAAGAAAAGCCUGGGAUCCCUCAAACAAUGGCGCAGCCAAGUAAUUCCAUCCCCCUUAUGGUAGCGGUUUGUUUCCGUAAUUGUCUUGUAGAGGUAGGAAUCUUGAAUAUUGUCAAAAUCAGAAUCGGAAAUAUUAAGCCGCAGAGAAUUGAAAGAAGACGCUACCUGCAUGCCGUCGUUGGAAAAUCUAGAGAUAAUUCCAUCUGAACAUAGGCACUCUACAUCAGUCGGAUAUCUAAUGAGACUGCUCAUGAAAGAGGCGUAAGCGGUCAAAUCCUUGGGGAAUCCAUUAGAACAACGCUCCAAGGCCACGCAGUUAACAAGGAUGGCAAUAAAGAGAUCACUGACGGUUACAGGUGGGAUUUCAAGCACUCCGUCCUUGAAAUGGAUAUCGGUGAACCUAUCGGUUCUUCUUGGCUUGAACUCUACACCUGACUUUCGGAGUUCCAAUGCAUUUUUUGUGAGAUGAAAAAGUUCGGUUGUCUUUGAAGUUGAUGGGUUCGACUGCGUAGAGAGUGUUGAGAUUGCAGUCAAACAAGGAUAUAGGCUACUGAUAUUAGCCUCUACUUUGUUGAUGAAACAGAGUUUGCAUAAAAAACCAUCAGAACUUUUUCAUUUCAUUGUUUUCACUAUAUAUAUUUACAGAACAGUUAACAUGCACAUAGAAACAUCAUUAACACUUGUCAAACUAAACAAACAAGUGUAGAGCAUCAGUUACAAGGUACAUGCAUAACACCACGUAUGGUGUUCUUUGUACAGCACAACAAAAACAAUUUCCUGCACAGCAUUUAAAUAACAAAAAACCAUGUCUCUGUCUUUACUUAGACACUUGCAAGCAUUACAUUCAACAUUCCCCCUUAAUGCUUGCUUGAUGCACCAUUAAUUUGUUUCUCUGAAACUCAAACAUUGGCUUCCUGAGUGCUUUAGUCAUAAUAUCAGCAAGUUGAUCUUCAGAAGGACAGUAUUGGAUGCAAAUUUCACCCUUCUUUUCAGCAUCCCUUGGAGCAUGAUAUUUCACACUGAUAUGUUUAGUUUUUCCAUGGAAGACAGGGUUUUUGGCCAUAGCUAUAGCAGAUUUAUUAUCAAGCCACAAAUCAGUAGCUUCAAGCUGAGGCAUAGUGAGAUCAUGAAGAACCUUCCUCACCCAAAUUGCAUGAUUUGCUGCUGAAGCUGCAGCCACAUACUCAGCUUCCGCAGAAGAUUGAGCAACCAUGUCUUGCUUGUGGGAGCUCCAAGAAAAUAAGCCAUUUCCAAGAGUGAAUACAUACCCGGAAGUGCUCUUUGCAUCAUCUAGAGAUCCAGCCCAGUCACUAUCAGAAAAUCCUGAUAGUUUAACAGCCUUUGUCUGAGUGAACUUCAAACCAUAAGCUGCUGUACCUUUUAAAUACCUGAGUAUUCUUUUUGCAGCAACAAAAUGACAGCUUCUUGGUUUUUGCAUAAAACGAGAUAAAUAGCUGACAGCAAACAUAACAUCAGGCCUUGUUGCACAUAGGUACAGAAGACAACCGAUAAGACUUCUAUAUUGAGAAGGAUUUUCCAGUUCAAAACCAGAUUGGGAAGAUAACUUCUCAUUAACUACCAGAGGUGAAGCAGUGGCUUUGCAUUCAUUCAUCUGAAACUUUUUAAGCAUUUCAAGCACAUAUUUGUGUUGAGAAACAUGUAUUCCACUAUGAAUCCUUUUGAUUUCCAGCCCCAAAAAAUAAGUCAUAUCUCCCAAAUCGGACAUAUAAAAUUCCUUCUCCAUAUUCUGUUUGAAUUUUCUAACAGCAUCUUCACUUCCCCCUGUCACUAGUAAGUCAUCCACAAACAAGGAUAGGAUUAGUGGAGCCUCAUUGCUGUGUUUUAACACAUAAAGAGUUGCUUCAUUAGGACUCUUUUGGAAUCCUUGAUCAAGCAGGUAAGUGUUAAUCCUGCUGUACCAAGCACGAGGUGCUUGUUUUAAUCCAUAAAGAGCCUUGUGAAGUCUGUACACCUUUCCUCGUCCAGAACAGAGUUCAAAUCCCGGUGGUUGCUCCACAUAAAUUUCUUCAUCAAGCUUCCCAUUUAAAAAUGCUGAUUUAACAUCCAAGUGAAAGAGUUUCCACUGGAAUGCAGCAGCCAAAGCUAUAAGCAAUCUAAUAGUGUCCAAUCGAGCCACUGGUGCAAUGGUUUCUUGGAAAUCAAUACCAAGUAUUUGAGAAUAGCCCUUCACUACUAGUCUUGCCUUGUACCUGUUUAAAGUGCCAUCAGGAUUGAGCUUUCUUUUAAAAAUCCAUUUGACCCCAAUUACUUGUCGAUCCUUAGGCCUAUCCACCAGAGACCAAGUUUUGUUUUUGACUAUCAUAUUCAGUUCUUCCUUCAUAGCUGUAACCCAAUGCUCAUAAACUGCAGCAACUUCAUAAGAGUUAGGUUCUGUGAUAGCCAUAUGACAUCUCUCAUAAAUGUUUUGAAUAGACCUUACUCCUCUAACUGGAGCUUCAUCAACUGUUUCAUCAUCAACAAGAAUUUGAGAAUCAGUAUGUUGAUAUUUUGAUACAUCAAUAAAUUCAUUCGAAUCUACAGCUUGGCUUUGCUCCCAAUUCCAGCUCCUAUUCUCAUCAAAUACAACAUUCCUGCUAACAGAAAUUCUACCAAAUUCAACCUGAAAUAUUCUAUAUGCUUUGGACUUCAAACUAUAUCCAAUCAGAACCCCAAUCUGAGCCUUUGGUUGAAGUUUGUCUCUCUGUUCCUCAGGUAUAUGUUGAUAACAAAGACUUCCAAACACUCGCAAAUGAUCUACAGAAGGCCUGGUCCCAUACCAUGCUUCAUAUGGAGUGAUAUUUUGUUUUGCUCGAGUAGGAAUAAUAUUGAGCAAGUAUACUGCUGUCGAGGCUGCUUCUGCCCAAAAUCUUUUGGGCAUAUUUUUCUCAAGCAUCAAGCACCUGCACAUCUCAAGUACUGUGCGAUUUUUUCUUUCACUUACCCCAUUUUGUUGGGGGCAAUAUGGAGCUGUUAGCUGGUGAAAGAUCCCUUCCUUCUCUAAAAAUUUAGAAAAUUCUUGAGAUGUGUACUCACCACCAUUAUCUGAUCUGAGUACCUUGAUUUUCAUACCAGACUCUAACUCAGCUCGAGCUUUAAAUUUCUGGAACCAACUGAAAGUUUCUGACUUCUGUUUCAUAAAGAAUAUCCAGCAGAACCUGGUCAGAUCAUCUAUAAAUGUAACAAAGUACCUGCUCCCAUUUAAUGACUCUUCACUUAGAGGACCUCCAACAUCUGAAUGGAUAAGAUUAAGCUUAUCCUUUGAUUUGCUAAAACUGGCAGUGGGAUAAGGCUUUCGAGUUAUUUUUCCAAGCUGACAAGUUUGGCAAAUAGGGCCACAUUCUGAUAAUUUGGGAAGCUUAUCUGCAAGACCUGAAUUACUCAACUGUAUCAAUGAAUUAUAAUUGCAGUGACCAAAUCUCUUGUGCCACAGAGAAGUCAAAUUUGAGUGAACUUCUGUUGCCUGCAAACAUGCAUCUUUCCAGUUCACUGGGAAACAAUUUUGUUUCAUAGAGAUGUUCAUCAUAUAAUCACCAUUAGGAGCAUAAAUAGUGCAAGACAUAUCUUUAAACAAUAAGACAUAGUUAUGCUUAAGCAUUUGUCCUACACUUAAUAGAUUUUUAGUGAUUUCUGGCACUAAGAGAACUGCAAACUCAUACCUGGCACCAGAAGAAGUUUGAAUUGGCACUAACCCUUUUCCUGUUGCUUGCAAAUAAACACCAUUCCCAAUCUCAACUUUCGAACGGUAUUAAUCAUCUAUUUCAACAAAUAGCUUCACAUUUGGAGUCAUGUGAUUUGAAGCUCCACUGUCCAAAAGCCAAAGGCUUGCAUCAACAGUUUUUAAAUUUCCAGUUUGAGCCAUAAACAAAUGCUCUUCAGCUGUUUCAGCUUUCUCAACUGGUUCAUCAGCCUUGACUUGAGUCUCGACUUUGUUUUUGCAAACUCUCUGUACAUGCCCCAAUUGGUUACAAUUUCUGCACCUCACAUUUGGUCUAAACCAACAACUAGCCUCAGCAUGACCCUUUCUCUUGCAGUGAGAACAUAUAUGAGCCUUGCCUUUUUUCUGUUGAUUUCUGUAUACAGAUUGAACCCCUUUAUCUUUCUCUUUCUGUUCAACAGGACCUUUUCUUGUGCUUGUCUCUCCCACUGUUUUUCCUUUCAUUUUAGCAAAUAGGACAUUUGCAGUUACACUCUCACUUCUCAUAACUCUCCUGUGUUCAGCAGCUUGGAGAGCAUAUGCAACAUCUGAUAGUGACAUUUUGGAGAGUUCCCUUUCCAGAGAAGCAACUGUUGCUUCAAAUCUUUCUGGUAGAGAUACAAGAGCCUUUUGAACAACUAUUUUUUCUGAAAUAUCCUCUCCCGAGAGUCUGAGUUGAUUAACAACUCUCAUAAGUCUGCUGAUGAAGUCUUUUGCAUUUUCAGAAUCCUUCAUUCUCAUUGUAUCAAACUCCCUAGUCAAGUUCAUAAUUUGCAUGUCUUUGGUUCUUUCAGAACCUUCAAACUGAACUUUCAGUCUUUCCCAAGCAUCUUUGGCAGUUUUACACCCCAUAAUUCUUACAAACAUAGCAUCUGUAAGAGCUCCCUGGAUGUAAGACAAGGCUCGGAAUCGUUUAGCCACUUCCUCGUGGUGCUGCUUUACUUGAGCAGGGGUUGCAUUAUCCUUCAAAGCUGGAACUUCAGCUCCUGAUUCAACAGCAUCCCAGAGGUCCAGACCCCUAAGAUAUGACUCCAUUUUCUCAAACCAAAUUGGAUAAUUUUCUCCAUUGAACGCUGGAGGUGAUUGAAAGCUGAAUGCAGUAUUUGAUGGAGAGGGAGAGGCCAUAGUUUUUCAAGUGAGUGUAUGGUUUAUUUCAGAGAAAGUGUUACUUGGAUUCAACUGUCUAUACGGUCCCUUAAGAGCUUAAUUCAGCUCUGAUACCAUGUUGAGAUUGCAGUCAAACAAGGAUAUAGGCUACUGAUAUUAGCCUCUACUUUGUUGAUGAAACAGAGUUUGCAUAAAAAACCAUCAGAACUUUUUCAUUUCAUUGUUUUCACUAUAUAUAUUUACAGAACAGUUAACAUGCACAUAGAAACAUCAUUAACACUUGUCAAACUAAACAAACAAGUGUAGAGCAUCAGUUACAAGGUACAUGCAUAACACCACGUAUGGUGUUCUUUGUACAGCACAACAAAAACAAUUUCCUGCACAGCAUUUAAAUAACAAAAAACCAUGUCUCUGUCUUUACUUAGACACUUGCAAGCAUUACAUUCAACAGAGAGGUGAUACUCCUUUUGCCCUGAGCUGGUGGCAGGGGUUUUUAGGAGUAAACCAUCUGCUAGCCGCAUUUGUUUUCUGCUCAAUGAAUUUAAGCAGACCUUUGCUUUCAAAAAGAUAGUCUUGAGAAACAAGGAGAGUGAAUUGUUCGAUGGAUUUGAUGGCCGGAUGGUCUGGAGAAACAAGUCAAGUAAAUGUUUGGAUUCUUCCAAAUGGUUGAAUUUGCAGGCGAAACCCAAGGAUCGAGGGAAGGCUAGAUCAAAAAUUUUGAAGGCCAUAGUGAGUACAGAUACAGAAACUGUUGUUGUCCCUUCUUCACUUUUUGAUAAAGCAGGGGGUCUGCCAUGGUUCAAUGGGGAAAUGAAAAUCCCCAUCUACAAAUUCUUCACUCCUGCCAAAAUGGCGUAGGACCUCCAUUAUGAAGCAAGCAUCAACUAACAUCAUUUCAACGAAUUCGGCGCUGGACAUUGACAAAUCCUCUGAGUAACAUCUUCUUGUACGUCGUUCCAGUUUCACCAUCGGUCGGACAUAGAAGCAUAAAUCUUUGCCUUGGUUUCUUGUCCGAGACAGAAAUUUCUCAAGAAAUGAAUACUUGUAUUUGUCAAGUGGAAGGUUUUUACCCCUAUGGUAAGGCCCUAUAGGGUUGAAAAUGCCCUCCCUGAAAAAUCGGUUAACCAUUUAUUUUUUUCAUUUUUGCCUCUGUCAGGGGCGAUUUUCAGCACCUGGCAGUGCGUGUUUUUUUGGUUUUGCCCUUGUACGAAUCGUUCGCGGUUGUUUUGCUUCCCUGCUUAGCCAGCUGGCUUUUCAAUUUCCCUCUGGAAUGUUCGUCAUAUUCAUUCUAAUCCUGGCUUAAUUCUGCUUAAUUAGAGUGUUUGAUCUGUUUUUAAGCUAAAUUAAUUAAUAACACUUGUUUUUGGGUCCAGGCUUUAGUAAUGGGUACAGGACACAUCAGGCCCAAUACAAGUACUAAGUUUUAAAAGUAAUAGAAAAUAAAAUGAAAUAAAAACAAAAACUAAAAAUUAAAAAAAUAAAGAUAAAAAUUAAAAUCAAAGUAAAGUACAAUAAUCAAAAUGGUGUUUACAAGGGCAAGAAAUAAGUUUUAAAAAUAACAUGUCUACAAGGGCGAGAAAAAAAUUGUAAACAUAACGUCAAUUAAAUAUUGGUCAAUCAAUAUUUCCGAUUCUUGAAUGAUCGAUUUUUGACUUUCAUCUAAUUCUGAUUGCCAUUGGCACCAACGAAUUAUAAUUACCGGUACCAGACGCAAUGUCAAAGAAGCCAAACUUAACCAGUAGGAAGCACAGCAAAGGUUGGUGAUACAGAAUAAAACAAUCCUGGGAUCUCUCAAACAAUGGCGCAGCCAAGUAAUUCCAUCCCCCUCACGAUAGCGGUUUGUUUCCAUUAUUGUCUUGUAGAGGUAGGAAUCUUGAAUAUUGUCAAUAUCAGAAUCAGAAAUAUUAGGUUGAAGAGAAUUGAAAGAAGACGCCACCUGUACGUCGUCGUUGGAAAAUCUAGAGAUAAUUCCAUCUGAACAUAGGCACUCUACAUCAGUCGGACAUUUAAUCAAACUGCUCAUGAAAGAGGCAUAAGCGGUCAAAUCUUUGGAGCGUCCAGUAGAACAAUGCUCCAAGGCCACGCCGUUAACAAGGAUGACGAUAAAGAGAUCAUUGACGGUUACAGGUGGGAUUUCAAGCACUCCGUCCUUGAAUUGGAUAUCCGUGAACCUAUCGGCUCUUCGUGGCCUGAACUCUAUACCUGACUCUAGGAGUUCCCGUGCACUUUUUGAGAGAUGAACCUGUUCAAGUUUGGCUGUCUUUGAGGUUGAUGGUUUCGAAUGCUUAGACAGUUGAUAUUCCUUUUGCUUUGAGCUGGUGGUAGAGGUUUCUAGAAUUUGACUGUCUGCUACUUUUGUGAUGCGCAUUUGGUACCUACUUCUGAUGUAAUGGAGAAGUAAGUAACAAACUGAAAUGAUAUCCUUGAGAAACGAGGGGAGUGAAGUCGUCGAUGGUUUUGAUGGGCGGAUGGUCUGGAGAAACAAGUCAAGUAAAUGUUUGGGUUCUUCCAAAUGGUUGAAUUUGCAGGCGAAAUCCAAGGAUCGAGGGAAGGCUAGAUCAAAAAUUUUGUAGGCCAUAGUGAUUACAGAAACAGAAACUGUUAUGGUCCCUUCUUCACUCUUUGAUAAAGCAGACAACUCUUCAAGAAUAAAGAAAGGAAUUUGGUUCUCUAGCAAGAGCAGGUCUCGAACCAAAAUGGGGGUCUGCCAUGGUUCAAUGGGGAAACUUAAAUCCCCAUCUACAAAUUCUUCACUCCUUCUGCCAAAACGGCGUAGGACCUCAAUUAUGAAGCAAGCAUCAACUAACAUCAUUUCAACGAAUUCGGCGCUGGGCAUUGACAAAUCCUCUGAGUAACAUCUUCUUGUACGUCGUUCCAGUUUCAUCAUCCGUCGGACAUAGAAGCAUAAAUCUUUGCCUAGGUUUCUUGUCCGAGACAGAAAUUUCUCAAGAAGUGAAUACUUGCAUUUGUCAAGUGGAAGGUUUUUACCCCUAUGGUAAGGCCCUAUAGAAGCCAAUUGAGGCUCUUGGAAUGCUAAUCCAGGAAAAGGAGUUCUAAAGAUGCAGGG